UGGCUGAGUGGUAAAGCGUUUGUUUUCCGAACCGAGGUCCCGGGUUCGAAUCCCGG
rnacentral:tRNA from 1 species